UACGUAGGGGGCAAGCGUUAUCCGGAAUUACUGGGUGUAAAGGGAGCGUAGACGGUAAUGUAAGUGUGGAGUGAAAGGCGGGGGCCCAACCCCCGGACUGCUCUGGAAACUAUGUUACUAGAGUGCAGGAGAGGAGAGUGGAAUUCCAUGUGUAGCGGUGAAAUGCGUAGAUAUAUGGAGGAACACCGGUGGCGAAAGCGGCUCUCUGGCCUGUAACUGACACUGAGGCUCGAAAGCGUGGGGAGCAAACAGG
rnacentral:rRNA from 1 species